rnacentral:rRNA from 1 species
UACGGAGGGGGCUAGCGUUGUUCGGAAUUACUGGGCGUAAAGCGCGCGUAGGCGGCUUAGCAAGUUAGAGGUGAAAGCCCGAAGCUCAACUUCGGAAUUGCCUUUUAAACUGCAAAGCUAGAAUCAUGGAGAGGUUAGUGGAAUUCCGAGUGUAGAGGUGAAAUUCGUAGAUAUUCGGAAGAACACCAGUGGCGAAGGCGACUAACUGGACAUGUAUUGACGCUGAGGUGCGAAAGCGUGGGGAGCAAACAGG